AGUGAACGCUGGCGGUAGGCCUAACACAUGCAAGUCGAACGGCAGCACAGUAAGAGCUUGCUCUUACGGGUGGCGAGUGGCGGACGGGUGAGGAAUACAUCGGAAUCUACUUUUUCGUGGGGGAUAACGUAGGGAAACUUACGCUAAUACCGCAUACGACCUACGGGUGAAAGCAGGGGAUCUUCGGACCUUGCGCGAUUGAAUGAGCCGAUGUCGGAUUAGCUAGUUGGCGGGGUAAAGGCCCACCAAGGCGACGAUCCGUAGCUGGUCUGAGAGGAUGAUCAGCCACACUGGAACUGAGACACGGUCCAGACUCCUACGGGAGGCAGCAGUGGGGAAUAUUGGACAAUGAGCGCAAGCCUGAUCCAGCCAUACCGCGUGGGUGAAGAAGGCCUUCGGGUUGUAAAGCCCCUUUGUUGGGAAAGAAAAGCAGCAGGUUAAUACCCCGCUGUUCUGACGGUACCCAAAGAAUAAGCACCGGCUAACUUCGUG
rnacentral:rRNA from 1 species